UUCGAAUUUGAUAGGAAAGCGAGCUAAGUGAAAUGAUUUACACUUGAUGAAUUCGUUUAAUCGCAAAGGCGACAAAAUUGCGGAAAUUGCGGUAACGGAAAUGCGAGUGCAAAAGCUUUAAAGAUUAUGCAAUAAAAGGAGACCAAAGAACUAGAUGAACGAUUGGCGAUUGUCCGCGACUUCGAGAAUAACACCCGCACCCAACUUAUACACAGUCAGACAAACAGACAGACAAAGGGGCCAAUUACAGGGUUGCUAAGCGGAUUUGGAACUCACAGCCAGCUGGCUCGAAUUGAAGAGUAUGGUAAUCAUGGCAAUUGCUUGCUUGGAUUGAUAGUAGUUUGUAUGCAAGUAAAUAUCUGCAAUUGACUUAAGCUGCUUAACUUAAAUUCCCACCUUUAACGGAUUUACUUUAUUCGAAUGAAUCGUUAAACCAUUGCAACUCAAUAUAAGAAGUAAGCUGACCCAGCGGAAUGAUGACC